UGGUUCUAAAGGGGACCCCGGGGACAGCCUAGCUUUCCCAGGAUUGAAAGGUGAUAAAGGGGACACUGGUUUCCCAGGACCUCCUGGUCUUCCUGGCAUAGAUGGCUCUCCUGGACGAGAAGGACUGCCAGGUCUUCCUGGUCCCAAGGGGGAACCUGGUGGUGUUGCUUUCAAAGGAAGAAUGGGACCUCCAGGUGAUCCAGGAGUGCAAGGUCUUCCUGGAGACAGAGGACCUAUGGGACCUCCUGGUUUUGGCCCACAAGGUCCUCCAGGUGAAAAAGGCAUUCAGGGUGUAUCUGGUCGUCCAGGUCCCCCAGGAGUUCCAGGUCCGAAAGGUGAACCUGGCAAAACUAUUACAGAAC
rnacentral:lncRNA from 1 species